UGGGGGUGUGUGUGUAGAGAAGAAAAAUCCUCUUUUUUUUUCUUUCUCUCUCUCUCUACUCUCCCGGCCGACUCUCUCUCACCUCGCCUCCAAAGUUCUCUCUUUGAUUUCAUCUCCAUAGAAAGAGAUUUUGAAAAAAUCCCAAGUAUUAAAGUUGUUCUAUGCGACGAAAGCUUCCUAUCCAUCCAAGAAAAUUCAUGAUCGGAGCACUUCGAAGUUUCCUCCAUGUUCGGGCUUGCUUCUAACCUUCGAGGUACUCGCCAUGACACUUAGCUUGGAUUGCAUGGAGUGCACAUUGAGACGUCUCUUGAGAGCUUCAUUGGGAUCAUUAAGGAGUUGUUUUUCAUCUAGUCUAAUUCACGCUGUGUACUUUACCCGCAAUUGAAUGUUGUACCUUUGUUUGAACAUAUGUAAAGCUAUGUAUAAACUCCUCUCCUUGAUUAUUGUGAAGCCCUUUUAAUGGAAGACGUUUGGGAGACUUUAUGUAAAAAAAAAAUUAUUAGAGAGAAGAGCUUUGAUUCUUUGUUUUGAUUGGCAUGAAAAGCUAUGUAUUAUUAUUUUAGUUGAAAAUCGAGGGCGUGACAAUAAUUUAGUAAUAGCUUAAUAUUUCGUAAGUUUGAAGACUUAUUUGAAUGCAAGCCUACUUUUGAUUAA